rnacentral:rRNA from 1 species
CAGGUGGUCAGGUAGAGAAUACCAAGGCGCUUGAGAGAACUCGGGUGAAGGAACUAGGCAAAAUGGUGCCGUAACUUCGGGAGAAGGCACGCUGACACGUAGGUGAAGUGAUUUACUCAUGGAGCUGAAGUCAGUCGAAGAUACCAGCUGGCUGCAACUGUUUAUUAAAAACACAGCACUGUGCAAACACGAAAGUGGACGUAUACGGUGUGACGCCUGCCCGGUGCCGGAAGGUUAAUUGAUGGGGUCAGCGCAAGCGAAGCUCCUGAUCGAAGCCCCGGUAAACGGCGGCCGUAACUAUAACGGUCCUAAGGUAGCGAAAUUCCUUGUCGGGUAAGUUCCGACCUGCACGAAUGGCGUAAUGAUGGCCAGGCUGUCUCCACCCGAGACUCAGUGAAAUUGAACUCGCUGUGAAGAUGCAGUGUACCCGCGGCAAGACGGAAAGACCCCGUGAACCUUUACUAUAGCUUGACACUGAACAUUGAGCCUUGAUGUGUAGGAUAGGUGGGAGGCUUUGAAGUGUGGACGCCAGUCUGCAUGGAGCCGACCUUGAAAUACCACCCUUUAAUGUUUGAUGUUCUAACGUGGACCCGUAAUCCGGGUUGCGGACAGUGUCUGGUGGGUAGUUUGACUGGGGCGGUCUCCUCCUAAAGAGUAACGGAGGAGCACGAAGGUUGGCUAAUCCUGGUCGGACAUCAGGAGGUUAGUGCAAUGGCAUAAGCCAGCUUGACUGCGAGCGUGACGGCGCGAGCAGGUGCGAAAGCAGGUCAUAGUGAUCCGGUGGUUCUGAAUGGAAGGGCCAUCGCUCAACGGAUAAAAGGUACUCCGGGGAUAACAGGCUGAUACCGCCCAAGAGUUCAUAUCGACGGCGGUGUUUGGCACCUCGAUGUCGGCUCAUCACAUCCUGGGGCUGAAGUAGGUCCCAAGGGUAUGGCUGUUCGCCAUUUAAAGUGGUACGCGAGCUGGGUUUAGAACGUCGUGAGACAGUUCGGUCCCUAUCUGCCGUGGGCGCUGGAGAACUGAGGGGGGCUGCUCCUAGUACGAGAGGACCGGAGUGGACGCAUCACUGGUGUUCGGGUUGUCAUGCCAAUGGCACUGCCCGGUAGCUAAAUGCGGAAGAGAUAAGUGCUGAAAGCAUCUAAGCACGAAACUUGCCCCGAGAUGAGUUCUCCCUGAGACUUAGAGUCUCCUGAAGGAACGUUGAAGACGACGACGUUGAUAGGCCGGGUGUGUAAGCGCAGCGAUGCGUUGAGCUAACCGGUACUAAUGAACCGUGAGGCUUAACCUUAC